rnacentral:lncRNA from 1 species
GUGAAGGAGAUCUUUGUUAGUUGCUCACAGUCGCACAUGCAUUCGGUCUCUAUGAGAAAUUCACUCGAAGCUCUUAUCUGAUUGGUCUUCUUUGGAGUGCUAGCUCGUGCGAAGACCUUCUUCUUGGCUGAUCUGGAUCCUUUCUUUAAAUCUCUGAAAUCUUUUUAGAGAUUGAAGAUGGACUUUCAGAGGAGCUAAAGAGGUGGAAUAAAGAUGGAGAGAAAAAUAAUUUUUUUAUUAUUUUUUCUCUCUUUUCAAACCCUUAGGAUUAAAAAAUUUAGAAUUUAGAUUUUUACGCACACACCAAGAGAGAGGAUUCUCCUCUUUAUUUUUCAUGCUAUGAACCAUGCCUCAAGCCCCUUCACGUGAAGAACUCUUCUUCUGGUAUCUUACAUGUACAAAAGAAACUACAAAAGCCCCUUUUAUAGGCAUGUAAGGAGGUGGGGAGAAAAAUCCUAGAGAUCAUGGACUCUUGAUGUGUUGUCACCCCUACUCAUGAUUUCAUGCAAACCACAUCCAAAAAAAAUAUGGGAUGCCCCUUUCCAUAUUUUUUCUCGAUAAAUCAGCUCUCUAACUGAUCUUCCAUAAAAAAUCUUCACAAAAUAUCGCACAUAUAAGGAGAAAAAAAAUAAGUUGGUAUGGAUAGGUGAUUUGGAUAAGAACAGAUUCUCUUGAUAAAAAAUAUUUUGAAAUUCAAUUUCAAAAUUUUUUUUAUCAAAAUCAAAUCAGAUUUGGAUAUGAGAUAGAGAGGG